CUUUAUUGGAGAGUUUGAUCCUGGCUCAGGACGAACGCUGGCGGCGUGCCUAAUACAUGCAAGUCGAGCGGACCUGAUGGAGUGCUUGCACUCCUGAUGGUUAGCGGCGGACGGGUGAGUAACACGUAGGCAACCUGCCCUCAAGACUGGGAUAACUACCGGAAACGGUAGCUAA
rnacentral:rRNA from 1 species